UUUAAUGCUAAAAAAACAAUUCAUGCGAAAUACACGCAGGCAGGCAAAAAAAACCCAAAUCUGGCGGAACCACAAAUAAAAGUCCUUUCUCACUACCCCUAUUUUCUUUAUCAAGGGAUAGAUACUAUAGCAGUUGGUUUUUAUACAUAUACAGCCAGUGCAGCAUUUCUAUUUAAUAUUUUUUGUUUUUAGUUUUAUUUUAGUAUUUUUAUUUCUUUUUUAUAUUUAAUGAUCCAUAUAUUUAAUCUGAUUAGCUCUAUUUUAAUACUAAAAUACACGCAGGCAGGCAAAAAUAACCCAAAUCUGGCGGAACAACAAAUAAAAGUCCUUUCUCACUACCCCCAAUUUCUUAACCGAGGUAACAAGUAUUAUCGAACUAACGCAUCUAACGUUUGCAAUUCUUAAAUUUAUUUAUAACGCGAAAAUUAUUAACCUAAUAAUAGUAUUAGAGUGGAAAAGCAAACAAAACAAAUGAAAUCAAAUGAAAUAUAUAGCUGAAUAAAAAGAUUUGUUUAAUUUGGAAUAACCGCGAAGGCAGCCUACAGAGGGUUUAAGUCUGCAUUUGGGCAGUGCACACGGCCACUACGCUUCAAAAUAAAAGCCUCGUAGCGAGCGCUCUGUGUUUAAAAAACGCCUUUAUUAAAAUAAUUUAUCUGUAUUUUCUUUGAAAUUUGUGACCAUUAAAUAAAUUAAGUAAGAUAAUUGGUCAAGCAACUGAUUAUUAUGAUUAUUAUUAAUAGUUUAUAUAUAUAUUUAAAAAAAGUAUAUAUGAAAUAAAGACAUAUGAUCGGGCUUUUUAAUGGACAGCUAGAUAAUGGUCUUUCAUAGGGUUUAAAAACGGCCAUAUCGGCCUUAGUAGUGAGUAGCCACGUGGAGAUCAGCAGCAGGUUAAGAGGGUGAUGUGCAGAGAGUGUAGAAUAAUGAGGUUAUUUCCAGUGUCUGCUCUCCUCACUUUAUUAUUGCCUAAUAGGUGACCUUGAGAAGAUGGUUGGUCGGCUGAAGCUGUAGUAAUCCUGGUGGUUGGAGUUUGGCCUUUUGGUGGCACCAUGUGGACAGCAGAGCAUGUUUUUCACGCGAACUGUAGGUCUGGAGAGACUGGUGUAUAUAAAUGUAUGUUUGUUUGGUGUGCAUUUUAUUAUUUAUUAAUUUUUUAUUUUACUUUUUAUUACAGUAUGCCAAACUUUGGGCCUAUAUGUAAAUAAUUUAUCCUCUAAAGAAAUGCACUUUAUUAUUUUUUUUUACUCUUACUGCAUAUUGAGCUACUGUAAUGAUUUACUGAAUUAAACAUAUUUUAUCCUACAAUGUUCUGUACAAAUUUUGUUU